GACGAACGCUGGCGGCGUGCCUAAUACAUGCAAGUAGAACGCAGUUGCGAACGGGUGAGUAACGCGUAGGUAACCUGCCUCAUCGCGGGGGAUAACUAUUGGAAACGCUUGCUAAUACCGCAUACUGUGAGAUUGAGCUGCGUUGUAUUGGCUAGUUGGUGAGGUAAAGGCUCACCAAGGCGACGAUACAUAGACGACCUGAGAGGGUGAACGGCGACGCAGGGACUGACAACACGCCCAGACGACGACGGGGGGAGGCAGUUGGGGAUAUUGCACAAUGGGUGAAAGACUGAUGCAGCGAGGGUGAGGGGGGGUUGAAGGUUGUCGGGUUGUAAAGCUCGUUCGGUAUAGGGGUAGGUGGAGAAGAAGCGCCGGCUAACUACGUGCCAGCAGCCGCGGUAAUUC
rnacentral:rRNA from 1 species